GACGAACGCUGGCGGCGUGCUUAACACAUGCAAGUCGAGCGGUAAGGCCCUUUCGGGGGUACACGAGCGGCGAACGGGUGAGUAACACGUGGGUGACCUGCCCUUAGCUCUGGGAUAAGCCUGGGAAACUGGGUCUAAUACCGGAUAUGACUCCAUAACGCAUGUUGUGGGGUGGAAAGCCUUGUGCGGCUAGGGAUGGGCCCGCGGCCUAUCAGCUUGUUGGUGGGGUGAUGGCCUACCAAGGCGACGACGGGUAGCCGGCCUGAGAGGGCGACCGGCCACACUGGGACUGAGACACGGCCCAGACUCCUACGUGAGGCAGCAGUGGGGAAUCUUGCGCAAUGGGCGAAAGCCUGACGCAGCGACGCCGCGUGGGGAUGAC
rnacentral:rRNA from 1 species